UGUCUGUCUGUCAGUUCUGAGUAAAAACAUAACCCAUGCCAGCAAAAAACAUAUCUAUCAGUGUUCUCCACUGGCCAUUGGAGACACACUGUGUCCUUCUUUUUCUCCUCCGAGGCCAACAUCGACUCUGUUGUCUUUAACCGCCGGGUGUUAGAGAUUGGCCCCCUCAACCACUCUAUUUUCUCCACCCCAAUGCAUUUUAGCAUCUUUUCCGAAAAUUGCUCUUUUUUUGUGCGCCCUGCACAACGCGACGCCCUUGUGGAUGACCCCAGGUGCCUAAUUCAGAAAUGCGUGCAGGGUUGUCACCGGCUGUUCCGAGCCUUGGAUCAUACAGUUUGUCCUGGUAGAUAACCCUGACGCCGAGCCAUGGCCUUGCUUCAAACCUCUCCACCUUCAUCCAUCCACCUCGGCCUUCCUCCAGAACACACUGAACCCACACUAAACUGUCCCAUGUUUCAAGGGUUCGUGUCGCUUCUGUGUGGAUGAGAUGGCAGCGUACAGAAAGAGAUGGAAUUUAACGGGUAAGAAACACACAUUUGUUGCAAAGUAAUUUUUCAAAACAAAUGUAACUCACAAUUACCUUAUUAUUAUUAUAAACACUUUUAAUCGUUUAAACCGUAAGUAGAAAUAGUUAGGGCUGACCCGAAUGCUUCGAAGCGUUGAGCGUUGCCGUGGUAAUCAACCUUCAAAUCGGUAUUUGUAUGCAUAAUGCAAUGAAUAUAUAUAAUUUAUAAAUAAAUAAUAAUAAUAUAUAUAAAAUAUAAUAAUGUAUAAAUCCUAAAAUAGCCCAUGAAAUAAGGAAUAAUCUCACAACAUUAUUCAUAUUCAACAU